CAAAACAUCAUAUCCACGCCACUAAUUUAGACCGCCAGUAGAAAUAAAUCUGGGCAAUCAAUUGGCACUGCAAAACCCAUAAUUUUCUCACUUCUUCAAGGUCUCUAUCUAUAUGUGUUUGCAUGUCUAUAUAAUUUCAUUUUCAUUGAAAUUUUUGUUAUCUUGAAGAAGCCAAGAAUUCAGGUUUUUCUUUUUGCAAUUGAAUAUUAAUUGCUCAAUGUUUUACUAUCAAAAGGAGACCCAAUAGCCAUUCCAAUAUUCCCACUUGCCUCUGUCUGCUUGAAUUUACCAUUGACAAUUUACUUUAGUUUUGAUUGCUUUUCCAAAAAUCUGCCCAAUGUUUAAAACAAAAAAAAGAGGGUUAUGGGUAGCAGAUCUGAGUUGGCAGCGACACCACUGCUAAUGGCAGUAGGGCCGACACCGUUAAAGUGCGCCAGAA
rnacentral:lncRNA from 1 species